rnacentral:rRNA from 1 species
UACGAAGGGGGCUAGCGUUGCUCGGAAUUACUGGGCGUAAAGGGCGCGUAGGCGGAUGUCUAAGUUGGGGGUGAAAUCCCGGGGCUCAACCUCGGAACAGCCUUCAAUACUGGAUAUCUUGAGUUCGGGAGAGGUGAGUGGAAUGCCGAGUGUAGAGGUGAAAUUCGUAGAUAUUGGGAAGAACACCGGUGGCGAAGGCGGCUCACUGGCUCAUUUCUGACGCUCAUGCACGACAGCGUGGGGAUCAAACAGG